rnacentral:tRNA from 1 species
GCCGCGGUCGCAUAGCCCGGCUAUUGCGGUAGAUUGCUAGGAGCUUUUUGUUCCUGAGACACUUGCAAUAGCCCACAAAGAUCUACUGUCCGAAAGGGCACGGGGGUUCGAAUCCCUCCCGCGGCG